rnacentral:lncRNA from 1 species
GAGAUGCAGGUCCAAUCCCUCAAUCAGGAAAAUCCCCCGGAGAAGGGAAUGGCUACCCACUCCAGUAUUCUUGAUGGGAAAAUCCCAUGGACAGUGGAGCCUGGUAGGCUACAGUCCACAGGAUUGCAGAGUCAGCCAUGACUGAGCGACUUAACACAAGGGGAGUACCAGCCGCCUGCCAUGUAGGGCAGGGGAGGAGGGAUGAGGGGAUGGCUAAGUGAACAACAGCGUUGCUGUCGGCUCUCUGCAGAGAGAGGGCACCAGCAGUCUCAGAGAACAGCAUCACUCUGCUCUUUCCCUAACAGAAGCAUAAAUAUGGCCCUUCUCUGCAAUGAGCAAUUUCCUUGGCUCUGCUGACACAAUGGGAUAUGUCCUCAGUGAGAGAAUUAAAUGUGGGUGUCACAGGACUAUUAGAGAAACAAAUAGCACCCCACACUUCCUCCUCCCCUCCUCUGCCUGCAUCUCCAUCUUUUCUCAGGCUGGCAUGAAGCCCCACACAGGCGUCCAGGUCCCAGCUUCGAACAUAGAGAUUUUUGAGAUGUCUGGGACUCAACUUUGUAAGGCUGAGUUGGCUUUUCAUUAGCUGGAUGCAGAAGCCUGUCCUCUGUUACCAUGGCAGCAUUUCUGAAAGAGGGUUCUAUGGGAUAAGGGAGAAUAAUCCAGUAUUCUCUAAGACUUUCCAAGACAGAAGAGUCUGGAAGACAGGAAAUCCAAGCCCUUCAUCCUGAAUCUUCCACCCUGAAGCUGUUCCACGUUAUGGAAGCUCUGAUCCUGUUUAUUCAGCAUCCUACCUGUCUCCUGGCAGGGGUCACACAGAAGGAGGGGAUGGCGAUUGGACUCCUGAAAGCUAUUGAAUGGAUCAGUGAUGGGAGGAUGUGGCUUUGGCUUUCACCUGACAAGCAUGGAUUCCACUGGACCUUUCUCAGAAGAACCUGUGAAGAGAUAAUGUAACGGUAAAAUGAAGGCAAUUUUUCUCACUGGGGGAUCCUUGUGCAAACCCACGAGCCCUUCAAAUCAGCACCCACAGACAUAGCAGACAUGGCAAAAAAAAGGAUUUUGACAGAGCACUUGUUAAAAUUGAGGGAUGAUUUUGAAAAACAGAGACAACUCUUAUGCAGGACAUUCUUGAGAUGGCACAAUCCAAAGUCAUGAAACAAACAUUUUAAAAAAGAAUAUAUAUGCAGUUGAAGCCAAUCUUUAUCCUGUCCUACUCCUAUUAAUUCCUCCAAGAUAACCAAAUAUCUUAAGGUAGGGUCAGCUAUCUCAAUUUUUUUAUUUUCCAAUCACAUAUAGAUAUCUCUAUAUACACCUACAUUAUAUACAACCUUACAUUACUUUGUGUACUUUUAAGGUUAUGUAUGGUGUAUUUCAAGACAAGAACUGAAAAUUAUGAGUUAAAUAAGUUUGGGAAAUACUGCAAGAUUUCUGCAAGAUUUUUCAGAAGCUUAAAGAUUAUUAUGAUUUUCAGUAUUCAUAAAUCUCACUUGACCAUGAGAUUAAAAGCAACAGUAGCAACAUAGUAACAACAACAAAGAAAUUAGUAGGUCUCUCUGCAGCUCAGGGUCCAGGGGAAUGAUUUUUGAAUGAAUAUAAAACCCUAAGCAGAAGGUGCAAAGGGAUCCUUGCAGAGUCUUCACUGCACCCCUGGACGAGAAAGCUGCAGGCUUCACAAACAAAGCAAGGCUCAGGUUUAGCUCAAGCGUGCAGCUGAACUGUCCUUGUCACGCUCCCUCGGGAGCCUAAGUGUGGCAACAGGCAUCUGUGUGACCUGGGGGUCCCUUGACAUCUGGCAGCAGCAGCAGGAUCAGCCCCAAUAGAAUAAGAUGCCCAGCUCCAGUCUGAUAGGAUGGCUGUAAAAGUGAAAUCAAUGGGAGCUCAUGACAGCAUCCUGUGAGCUGCAAAAUGCCAGCUUGGUACACCACCGCUGCCCUAGGCAGUGCCAAUCCCUGUGCUAGGCGUCACUGACACAGAAGAUAAUUUUAAAACAUCCAUAGCAGGCAGUUCUUGAGCAGUUACAGCAAGAGUUGUGCUGUGCUGACAUGUUCUUGGUGUUCUCCAUGUCCUCUUUUUUUUUUCUAUUUUUUAUUUAAAUAUUAUCAUUUUUAUUUUUACUAUGUUGCUUUGGUUUCUACAACAGUGCAGAUCAGCCAUAAUGACACAGACGUCCUCUGUCUCCUUAGGCUCCCUCCACUCCCCGCAUCCCAUCCCUCUGUGCCAUCACAGAGCACCAGACUGAGCUCCUUGUGCUACACAUUAGCUUCUCACCAGCUAUCCAUCACACACCCAGCUGUGUAUAUAUAUUCAUGCUGCUUUCUCCGUUAGUUCCCCUCUCCCCUCCCCCACUAUCUAGAAAAAUUAUAUUGGUGAACUUAUUUGCAGGGAAGGAAUGGAGACACAGAUAUACAGAAUGGACAUUCUAAUACUAUUUUUAUUGGCACAAUUAUUUAAUACUGUUAUUCAUGAGUGGGAGAACUGAGCUGCACCCCCAAGCAAUCAGACUUCCAGCUUAGCACUUAUCCUCCUUAUUGAUCACACCAUGAGCCUCUGAAAGGCAUGUCAUUGCUCUUGGUUUAAGAAAGAGAGAAUUGACUCUUAUGGAAUACCUGUAAUUUGCAUAAGGUCGUACUGCUGUCUAAAAGCAGAGCUGUCUUUCCAAGACAGAGUGAUGCUUCUGGUGGAAGUUGCUGAAGUAGCAAGAGCCAUGGCUGCUCCCAAACCCCAUCCCAACCAUGCUUUCUGCAAGUUUCACGUUUAGAGAUAAAUCCCUACCACUUAGGGUGGCCUGGCACAAUUGGCCAAAUCAUCAAUUUGACUAGGUAGAAUGAAAUCCUUUUGAAAAUAGUAGGCAAUAUUGAAACAAAUGUAAUGUUUUAUGUCUAUAUAGUCAAUUACACAUUUGUGAAGAGGCUUCCAUAUCAAUUUUUCAACAUGGUUUGGCGUCCCAAUACCUGCAGAGAGUAGGUAGUUGCCUUUCAAAAGUACACCAGAUUUACAUCUAUUCUGCUUGAAUCUCAGCUCAGCUAUGUAACAACACUGUGAUCAUAAAGAACUUCCAAGGUAAGUUCUUCCAAGGUGACUCCCCAGUAGUAGAGUCAACCUGCCAAUGCAGGAGAUGUGGGUUUGAUCCCUGGGUCAGUAAGGUUCCCUGGAGAAGGAAAUGGCAACCAACUGUGGUAUUUUUGCCUGAGAAAUGCCAUAGACAGAGAAGGCUGGUGGGCUACAGCUUAUGGGGUUGCAAAGAGUCAGAGCAACUAAACAACAAAAAAACAAACAUCUUAAAUAACUCCAAUCUAAGACCCUCCUUAAAAAAAAUAAUGUUAAUGUGACCAACUGUAUUGGUGAGUAAUAAAUUAGUAUUUGUUGAUUGCCCUUUCCA